ACGUUGUGACGUAGGCAUUUAAGAAGUAGCCCAUUAAAGUGCUCCCAUGCCUCGAAGAAGAUAUCCCCGUCUUUCUAUUGGAAGGUCAGGAUUUCCCUCCUCAAUCU